UGUCACAAACAUGAAUAUAUAUGGUUAAGGGGUGUGGAUCUCGACCGUUUCCAAGUUCUCAAACAGGAGGGGGUGGGGUAUCUCCAGGGACUCCCCCUAUAUUUCAUUUUUUAUUUAUUAUAUUGUCCUAUACUUGAAUAUAUGCAGGGGGGGUUGCGGGCUUGCACCCCCCUUAAGUUUGCAAGCAUGGGUUCUUCUCAGCUUAAUAAAGAAAAUUCCGAUAAUUUUACCUCAAUUUUUUUUUUUAAUAAGCUGAGAACAGCUCGGCGAAAAUUUAAGUUUGCGCCCCUCCUAACCUAAAAUCCUGGAUCUGCCCCUCAUAUGGUUUAGGGGUGGGGAGCUCGACCGUUUCCAAGUUAUCAAACAGGAGGGGGUAGAGUGGCCCAAAGAAUUCCACCUAUAUAUCAUAUGAUUUACUUACAUUAAGGUAUAUAUAAUAUAGUUGCAUUAUUUGUGAAAAUAAAGAAUGAAACUUUCAGCUACUUUAAUUGACCCUUCAAAAUUGAGAAAAAACAAAUAACCCCUCGAAAUUGCAGUAAUAUGUUUACACUUUAAAAGCAUCUCACAUGCAUUAUCAUCAUUUAUCAUUUAUAAAGAAAAUUUAGACUGUGACCAUGAACAUGUAUAUUGUUAGAUAUACUGUUCCCAGCUGUCACGUUGUAUUGGAUCAUUUUAAAUUAAAAUUUAUCAAAAAGUAAUUUUUAGUUUCUGAAUAAAAUAUUUUUUAGCUUUUUCUUUCUUUUACAUAUAUCUUUUGGUUUACAAUACUAGUGUUUAUAUUCAUUUAUCAUGCAUAGAUGUAUUUUUUCACCUGCUUGGAUUUAUUUUGUAAAUGAUCGUCAAACCCGGAAUUAUCCUUAUCCGCUUCCGGAAUCGGAUCCGAUUUUGUAAAAUUUUGUCUUCACGGCCGCCAUUGUUAUGUGUUUACAAUGUUGUUUUUGUCAAUCAGAUACGAUUUUACUCGAAUUUAUACAAUAUUUGUCGGCGAUUUUCUGUAUAAAGCUAGCGGUUGAACAAAAUGAACAUCGCCGUCACGAAUAAUAAUGAUAAAAAUAAGUUUUUAGCUCGUUUAAUUGGAGACUUUGGUGAACAUGGUGCCGAAAAGGUUUGCAAAGUAAUUUCUUAUUUUCUUUCAAAUGUAAGGCGACUACGUCGGGCGUAGCUAGAAACCAACUAUCCUAGUCGAAAUUCCGCUUGCAAAAGUGGAAGGUCUCGGACCACCGCUAAUUUGCACACCUGCCUCCAAAUUGAAAAGCUACGAAAAUUUCUUUUUCUAAUUUGAAAUUGCCGCCAACAGCAUGAACAGUUGAAUUAUAUAAUAGACUACUGACGUAGUUGUACUACGUAUUGAUGACAAACAAUAUUCCUACGACUUUUGUCAUUUGGGAAAUCUAAACUGCUCGUCUUAAGAGAUUUUCGGCGAUUAAAUAUUUCAUACAAUUGUUCUUUGACAUCUUAGCUAAAAGCACGAGUCAUAAUGAACUACACAAGGAUUUUUAAUAAGCACUACUUCCUAUGUGUAACUUUAAAACUUUUGGAUAAAUCGACGAUCAUUUAAGGUUUUUCUGGUCAUUUUUUUUGUAAUCCAGAAUAAAAAGUAUUAAAAAAGUGUUCAAUUAGUUAUAUAUAACAUAGUAACAAGCUAGAUAAUAACAAUGGCAAGUAUUUCAGGAUUUAUUGGGUAGAACACAAAUCUAGGGUGCUCGCAUAAUGCAGCUUAACUGCAUAAAAAUUAGAUGUGAUAUUUUCAAGUUCCUUAGACCUACAAAAUCAAUAUGUGAUUAUCCCUCCAGA
rnacentral:lncRNA from 1 species